UAGGAUCUCGCAAAUAAUUUGUUUAUGC
rnacentral:piRNA from 1 species